rnacentral:rRNA from 1 species
AUUGAACGCUGGCGGCGGGCCUAAUACAUGCAAGUCGAGCGAAGCGGGGACGGGUGAGUAACACGUGGAUAACCUCCUAUAAGACUGGGAUAACAUCGGGAACCCGGAGUUAUCCGGGUUACUUAUAGAUGGAUCCGAGCUGCAUUAGCUGGUUGGUAAGGGAACGGCUUACAAAGGCAACGAUGCAUAGCCGACCUGCGAGGAUGAUCGGCCACACUGUCACGUAGACACGGUCCAGACUCCUACGGUAGGCAGCAGUAGGGAAUCUUCCGCAAUGGGCGAAAGCCUGACGGAGCAACGCCGCGUGUGUGAUGAAGUUCUUCGGAUCGUAAAGCUCUGUUAUGAGGGAAGCGGUACCUAAUCAGGAAGCCACGGCUAACUCCGUGCCAGCAGCCGCGGUAAUUC